GCCUUUAUUUCUGCUCUAAUAGGGCCUUCUUGGCACCUCAUCCCAGAGCUUGGGACUCCAUGUCAAAGGAAACUGAGUCUGUUUUUCUCUCUUGAUCUAACACCAGCAGAAGAAGCCAUUCAUAUUCAAGCAGAUGUUGAGCAGAUCUGCCCAUGAUCAUCACUGAACUGGACUGCUUUGUGAUGAAGGAAAAAUGUGAACACGGGUGCAUAACUCCAAAGAGCCAAACUCAUGAACGCAUCUCAGAAAAAUGGAGUUACCUUGGCAACUAGCAAACUUGUGUGGCAUUGUAGAAUACUACACCAUGGCUAGGCAUUGCAAUCUCUCUGUGAACAGUAAAUAAAAAUAAAUAAAUUCCUAAAACUGCA
rnacentral:lncRNA from 1 species